UUGAACGCUGGCGGCAGGCCUAACACAUGCAAGUCGAGCGGAUGAAGGGAGCUUGCUCCUGGAUUCAGCGGCGGACGGGUGAGUAAUGCCUAGGAAUCUGCCUGGUAGUGGGGGAUAACGUCCGGAAACGGGCGCUAAUACCGCAUACGUCCUGAGGGAGAAAGUGGGGGAUCGUCGGACCUCACGCUAUCAGAUGAGCCUAGGUCGGAUUAGCUAGUUGGUGGGGUAAAGGCCUACCAAGGCGACGAUCCGUAACGGGUCUGAGAGGAUGAUCAGUCACACUGGAACUGAGACACGGUCCAGACUCCUACGGGAGGCAGCAGUGGGGAAUAUUGGACAAUGGGCGAAAGCCUGAUCCAGCCAUGCCGCGUGUGUGAAGAAGGUCUUCGGAUUGUAAAGCACUUUAAGUUGGGAGGAAGGGCAGUAAGUUAAUACCUUGCUGUUUUGACGUUACCAACAGAAUAAGCACCGGCUAACUUCGUG
rnacentral:rRNA from 1 species